rnacentral:rRNA from 1 species
GUAGGGUGCAAGCGUUGUCCGGAAUUACUGGGUGUAAAGGGUCCGCAGGCGGGCAGACAAGUCGGUGGUGAAAGCUCUUCGCUCAACGGAGAGACUGCCAUCGAUACUGUUUGUCUUGAGUUCGAGAGAGGAUAAUGGAAUUCAUGGUGUAGCGGUGAAAUGCGUAGAGAUCAUGAAGAACACCGGUAGCGAAGGCGGUUAUCUGGCUCGAUACUGACGCUCAGGGACGAAAGCGUGGGUAGCAAACAGGAUUAGAUACCCUGGUAGUCCACGCCUUAAACGAUGGAUAUUCGGUGUCAGUCCGCAAGGAUUGGUGCCUGAGCCAACGCGUUAAAUAUCCCACCUGGGGAGUACGAUCGCAAGGGUG